rnacentral:rRNA from 1 species
CCUACGGGGGGCAGCAGUGAGUAAUAUUGGUCAAUGGCCGGAAGGCUGAACCAGCCAAGCCGCGUGAGGGAGGAAGGCGCAGAGCGUCGCAGACCUCUUUUGCCGGGGGACAAAAGGCCGGACUCGUCCGGUCCUGAGGGUACCCGGAGAAAAAGCAUCGGCUAACUCCGUGCCAGCAGCCGCGGUAAUACGGAGGAUGCGAGCGUUAUCCGGAUUCAUUGGGUUUAAAGGGUGCGCAGGCGGGCCUUUAAGCCGGCGGUAAAAUCGCGGGGCUCAACCUCGCUCCGCCGUUGAAACUGGCGUUCUUGAGUGGGCGAGAAGUAUGCGGAAUGCGUGGUGUAGCGGUGAAAUGCAUAGAUAUCACGCAGAACUCCGAUUGCGAAGGCAGCAUACCGGCGCCCAACUGACGCUGAAGCACGAAAGCGUGGGUAUCGAACAGGAUUAGAUACCCUUGUAGUC